rnacentral:piRNA from 1 species
AGAAAGUGCAGCCUCUCAGCCUC